CGGCGCCCCAAUGGCCUAUAAAUAGCUGCCACCCAAGCAGAACAGAUAUCAUAUCAAAACAGCAGAAAUCUCUUCUGAAGAGAAAAAAACUUCAGUCUAGCUGCACACUAGCUAGCUAGCCAGUUCACUUCCAAAGAAAGACAGUAGUCCAAUCCAAGGAUGUCUUCUAGGUCAAGCAGCUCCUCCCGCAACAGCAACAGUGUCAACAUGGACUCAGAGUGGAGCAAAAAGGAGAACAAGCUGUUCGAGGAGGCUCUUGCCUACUACGGCGAGGGCGCGCCUGACCUCUUUCACAAGGUGUCUCGCGCCAUGGGAGGCACCAAGACAGCCGAUGAGGUGCGCCGCCACUAUGAGAUCCUCGAGGACGACCUCAAGCUGAUAGAGGCAAGAAGAGUCCCGUUCCCCAAGUACAAUACACAGGGAGCAUGGAACUGAUAGGGGUGGAAGCAUCUGAGGUUCCAGACAACAGGAAAAAAAUUCCAAUAUAAAUUAUAUUCCUUGCUAGCUGUGGCUAAGUUACUGAAGGAAUCAAGGAAGUAUAUUGAUAUUGUUAUUGCCUAAGAAGAUUGUGGUCGCUUGGUUAUAAAUAAAAGAAGAAAAGACUUGUUUGUACAUACUCUAGGUUGUAAAGCAAAUCAGUGUCGAUCUUGCAGAAACUAGCCUGCAUUUGGCAUUGUGUGUGGUUGUUAAACAUUCCAGCUAAAUUAUGUAGUAAACAUCAGUGAUGUAAGACUUCUGUACUUGUGUGCUAGUGAUUAUAAAGUUGUGCUUGCUAGAAUCUCA